rnacentral:lncRNA from 10 species
AUGCACAGCCUGGCGACGGCUGCGUAGAGACGGGGUUUCACCAUGUUGGCCAGGCUGAUCUUGAACUCCCGACCUCAAGUGAUCUGCCCGCCUCGGCCUCCCAAAGUGCUGGGAUUACAGGUUUUCAGAUUUGACUUUCUGCUGGUCAUCUUUUCAAAGAAAAUGAAACGUUUAAAAGUUCAUCUGAUAAUACUGCUACCAUAGUUUUGUUUUCACUGCUCAUCUCUUAUUAAGGUUUUUAACCAUAAAACUGAAGCAAUUUCUGUAAAGACACAAAUUGAUAACUUAGUAUAGAAUUAAAAUUCAUUAAGUUAUCAUAAGUUUGAUGAUAUCCUUGUUAAUGUACUGAUUUUUGAAUUAUUUUAUUUGCCAUAAUCCAUAUAUUUCUAACAUGAGUAUUUUGACAGUAUUUAAUAAAUCAGAAAGCUGU